rnacentral:rRNA from 1 species
AGUACAGACGAGUUUGAUCCUGGCUCAGAACGAACGCUGGCGGCAGGCCUAACACAUGCAAGUCGAGCGAACCCUUCGGGGUUAGCGGCGGACGGGUUAGUAACGCGUGGGAAUAUGCCCAAAGGUACGGAAUAGCCUCGGGAAACUGAGAGUAAUACCGUAUGUGCCCUUCGGGGGAAAGAUUUAUCGCCUUUGGAUUAGCCCGCGUUGGAUUAGGUAGUUGGUGGGGUAAUGGCCUACCAAGCCGACGAUCCAUAGCUGGUUUGAGAGGAUGAUCAGCAACACUGGGACUGAGACACGGCCCAGACUCCUACGGGAGGCAGCAGUGGGGAAUCUUAGACAAUGGGGGAAACCCUGAUCUAGCCAUGCCGCGUGGACGAUGAAGGCCUUAGGGUUGUAAAGUCCUUUCAGCUGGGAAGAUAAUGACGGUACCAGCAGAAGAAGCCCCGGCUAACUCCGUG